GUGCUCACUUUGGUAGCACAUAUACUAAAAUUGAAAUAAUACAGAGAUUAGCAUGGCCCCUAAGCAAAGAUGACAUGCAAAUUCAUGAGCGUUCUUAAUUUUAC
ensembl:snRNA U6 U6 spliceosomal RNA